rnacentral:rRNA from 1 species
AGAACUUGAAACCGUGUGCUUACAAGUAGUCAGAGCCCGUUAAUGGGUGAUGGCGUGCCUUUUGUAGAAUGAACCGGCGAGUUACGAUCUGAUGCAAGGUUAAGCAGAAAAUGUGGAGCCGUAGCGAAAGCGAGUCUGAAUAGGGCGAAUGAGUAUUUGGUCGUAGACCCGAAACCAGGUGAUCUACCCUUGGUCAGGUUGAAGUUCAGGUAACACUGAAUGGAGGACCGAACCGACUUACGUUGAAAAGUGAGCGGAUGAACUGAGGGUAGCGGAGAAAUUCCAAUCGAACUUGGAGAUAGCUGGUUCUCUCCGAAAUAGCUUUAGGGCUAGCCUCAAGUGAUGAUUAUUGGAGGUAGAGCACUGUUUGGACGAGGGGCCCCUCUCGGGUUACCGAAUUCAGACAAACUCCGAAUGCCAAAUAAUUUAACUUGGGAGUCAGAAUGUGGGUGAUAAGGUCCAUAUUCGAAAGGGAAACAGCCCAGACCACCAGCUAAGGUCCCAAAAUAUAUGUUAAGUGGAAAAGGAUGUGGCGUUGCCCAGACAACUAGGAUGUUGGCUUAGAAGCAGCCAUCAUUUAAAGAGUGCGUAAUAGCUCACUAGUCGAGUGACACUGCGCCGAAAAUGUACCGGGGCUAAACAUAUUACCGAAGCUGUGGAUUGUCCUUUGGACAAUGGUAGGAGAGCGUUCUAAGGGCGUUGAAGCAUGAUCGCAAGGACAUGUGGAGCGCUUAGAAGUGAGAAUGCCGGUGUGAGUA